CACAGCUCACCGCCAUCGUUGAAGUUCUGCUUCUCAAUGACGCUCUCCUUCAACAUUUCCAUGUUCUGUGUAUCAAGCAGUAAUCUUUCGGAAAUUUGCGAUCGUAUUCCUUAACAUUGGAGUUUCUACUUAGGUCAUUUUCUACGAAGGAUGUUGAACAUGCAAUUGCCCUAGGGAGCUUCGUAAUCUCAUCCAGGUUUACAACAAUUUCCUUCGAGAUUCAGUGAAUUCCUAAGAUCGGAUGCUUUCCAUCUUUUGGAUCGGCAUUUACUCCAAUGAAAAUUAAAAUAAUAAUGAAAAAAAAAUCAAAAACAAAAUCAAUUCUGAAAUGUAAAGUAAGACAACUUCCACUAAGUUGUAGGCCAUACCUAACAGGGGGGGUGCCAACUGAAGACCUGGUUCUAAAAGCUUUCUCAAACAAUUACUUUUGUCACAAUUCCCAGUAUCUUCAGGAUAUACCGGCAACCUGCAUCAUACUAAACAAAACAAAC
rnacentral:lncRNA from 1 species